rnacentral:rRNA from 1 species
CCGCGGCGCAUUAGCUAGUUGGUGGGGUAAUGGCUCACCAAGGCGACGAUGCGUAGCCGACCUGAGAGGGUGAUCGGCCACACUGGGACUGAGACACGGCCCAGACUCCUACGGGAGGCAGCAGUAGGGAAUCUUCCGCAAUGGACGAAAGUCUGACGGAGCAACGCCGCGUGAGUGAUGAAGGUUUUCGGAUCGUAAAGCUCUGUUGUUAGGGAAGAACAAGUGCGAGAGUAACUGCUCGCACCUUGACGGUACCUAACCAGAAAGCCACGGCUAACUACGUGCCAGCAGCCGCGGUAAUACGUAGGUGGCAAGCGUUGUCCGGAAUUAUUGGGCGUAAAGGGCUCGCAGGCGGUUUCUUAAAUCUGAUGUGAAAGCCCUUCNGCUCAACCGGGGAGGGUCAUUGGAAACUGGGAAACUUGCGUGCAGAAGAGGAGAGUGGAAUUCCACGUGUAGCGGUGAAAUGCGUAGAGAUGUGGAGGAACACCAGUGGCGAAGGCGACUCUCUGGUCUGUAACUGACGCUGAGGAGCGAAAACGUGGGGAGCGAACAGGAUUAGAUACCCUGGUAGUCCACGCCGUAAACGAUGAGUGCUAAGUGUUAGGGGGUUUCCGCCCCUUAGUGCUGCAGCUAACGCAUUAAGCACUCCGCCUGGGGAGUACGGUCGCAAGACUGAAACUCAAAGGAAUUGACGGGGGCCCGCACAAGCGGUGGAGCAUGUGGUUUAAUUCGAAGCAACGCGAAGAACCUUACCAGGUCUUGACAUCCUCUGACAACCCUAGAGAUAGGGCUUUCCCUUCGGGGACAGAGUGACAGGUGGUGCAUGGUUGUCGUCAGCUCGUGUCGUGAGAUGUUGGGUUAAGUCCCGCAACGAGCGCAACCCUUGAUCUUAGUUGCCAGCAUUCAGUUGGGCACUCUAAGGUGACUGCCGGUGACAAACCGGAGGAAGGUGGGGAUGACGUCAAAUCAUCAUGCCCCUUAUGACCUGGGCUACACACGUGCUACAAUGGACAGAACAAAGGGCUGCAAGACCGCAAGGUUUAGCCAAUCCCAUAAAUCUGUUCUCAGUUCGGAUCGCAGUCUGCAACUCGACUGCGUGAAGCUGGAAUCGCUAGUAAUCGCGGAUCAGCAUGCCGCGGUGAAUACGUUCCC